rnacentral:lncRNA from 1 species
CAGUAAGGGAAAGCCGCCGGAGCUGGAGACAGGCUGGAAAGAGCAGGAUUGCGAGACGUCUUUAACCCUUGCUGAUCGGCUGACGCUGCAGCUUCCUGUGGCUUCCUGCUCAUUUCCCGAAUUCCAUUUUGGAAAAUUUAUCCUGAGGAAAUAAAUAAAGAUGUAAACAGAGAAUAACUUACAGAUGUGACGUUUGUGAUCGUUAAAACUGGAAACAGCGCAAGAGUGGACGAUAGGGGAUGAGAGAGCCACACAGCGCAUAGAAGAUGAUCAGUCUGAAGAGAGGGUUUUCAGACAUGCAAUUAACUGCUAUUCACUGUACUUCAUUUUAACUGCAAACUAGCAGGCUCUUUCCCCAGGAAAAAAGAGGUCAACUCGGAGGAGCGGAGUCAUGAUUCUACCUUUUUGGAAAUGACCCUCUAGCAGUUUUAUUGGUCCUAUGAGAUACACAGUAGAUUCACCAGCCAGAGCCAGAUGAGCUGCACAGUUGCCAAAGGGAACUUCAGAUGCCACCAGAGCCUCAGCUC